GGGCGCAAGCCUGAUGCAGCCAUGCCGCGUGUAUGAAGAAGGCCUUCGGGUUGUAAAGUACUUUCAGUCGUGAGGAAGGCGGYGUCGUUAAUAGCGGCGUUGUUUGACGUUAGCGACAGAAGAAGCACCGGCUAACUCCGUGCCAGCAGCCGCGGUAAUACGGAGGGUGCGAGCGUUAAUCGGAAUUACUGGGCGUAAAGCGCAUGCAGGUGGUUUGUUAAGUCAGAUGUGAAAGCCCGGGGCUCAACCUCGGAAUAGCAUUUGAAACUGGCAGACUAGAGUACUGUAGAGGGGGGUAGAAUUUCAGGUGUAGCGGUGAAAUGCGUAGAGAUCUGAAGGAAUACCGGUGGCGAAGGCGGCCCCCUGGACAGAUACUGACACUCAGAUGCGAAAGCGUGGGGAGCAAACAGGAUUAGAUACCCUGGUAGUCCACGCCGUAAACGAUGUCUACUUGGAGGUUGUGGCCUUGAGCCGUGGCUUUCGGAGCUAACGCGUUAAGUAGACCGCCUGGG
rnacentral:rRNA from 1 species